UAAACGGGUGAUUUUUUCCUGAGUUGGGACGGGACUGCUUAACACUGGUUCUGAUUGAGUAGUGAGAAAUGUUCGAUGAAUGCGGCUGCUGAAAUAGACCGAGAGUUUACAGGCUUUGUGCAUGUGGCUAUUCAAUUCAGGAAGAAAUUAAAUAAUUGAGAUGAUAAAUAGUAAAUGUAGAAAGAGAUGAAGAAAGAAUCAAAUGGUGAGCAA
rnacentral:lncRNA from 1 species